UCUCCUGGCAACCUGUGUCAUCUCAACAAUUGAAUUCCACCCACUUCCACUUAUAACACACACACAACCUAACUUUCAUGAAACACCGGUAAGCUUUGCAGACUUUAUCAAAAACUGGACCAGGAGCAGAAGAAGUCAAGUAGACUCUCUGAGGACAUAAAAAACAAAGGGAUGGCCAACCUCCCUUCUCCCCAGUCCUUCCUUGUGGGUGUUUGUUUAUUAAUGGAGUGGAGUGAAACCCUGAAAGCUGUGCCCUUGCUCUGAAGUUCUGAUUGUAAUGGAAACAGUUGCCAGGGGGGUGAAGUGUCACCGUGGUUAUCUACUGAUCAAGGACAGCAUGCCUGAGAGAGAGAGCAGCCAGAGCCUCUGCCUGUCAAGACAAGCCUCAUUCCGCCUCCACUCGCUCUGCCCUGCCAGUGGCUAAUUGAUUUGUGAAAAUGCUUGGAGGUAGUCUGAGUGAGAAAGACACUUUAUGUCUGCUUACGACAAAUCCUCGGAGGAACAAAAAAUCCAUUUCAUGCACACAUUCCCCUGCUUGAGUCUUUCUUCCAUUCAAUUCCCAAUUAGCUAAAUCUUCAGCACCCAAAGAACUAAGCAGAUGAAAAAAAUCUUCUGAUGGCCAGCUCCUGCCAAACAGAGAGAAUGGCACAUACAGAAAAGAAACCUGCAUCAAUGGUAAUAAAAUAAAAUAAAAAUGAGGAACAGAAAAGCAGGCAGUAAGGAAGGAAAAUGGCCCUCUGGCCUUUAAGCUACAAUUUAAGAGAAUAACUAAAUCCAAAAGUCAAGUUCUAACAGUGACCAGUAACAAGAAUAACUCAUGAAAAGCCUGAAUCCUGUAGUGCAACCUCCUGGCAACCUCAUUUAACACAAGUAAAUUCUAGUACACUGAUUUUCUGUUGACGUCCAGCAAUCAGUCUAGUGUCUCUAUGCAUAGACUCAGAAGUACUGUCGGUCUUCUAUAAACCCAUCCCCUGCAAAAUGGACCAGAGCAUUGGUUUGGGAUUUCCUGCUGCCCAACUGGGGAUGGGACCUGCCUUCUGACUUUCCAGUUUAGCUUCUGCCUACAGUGUAUUUGCUUUUCAAAAAGAGUUUGCCAGGGCUGUUGAAAAAGUUGAAGGAAUGUUGAUAACAGAACUGACUUUUCAUCAAAAGCUGCUUCUUGUAAGUGAACUUGGCUCAAACUCAAAGCUCUUCCCCUGUUGCCAAUUGAUCCUUGGGUACCCUUGGGUAAAAGCCAGUAAAGUUAUUCCUGGGCCU
rnacentral:lncRNA from 1 species